rnacentral:rRNA from 1 species
ACGGGAGGCAGCAGUGGGGAAUAUUGGUCAAUGGACGGAAGUCUGAACCAGCCAUGCCGCGUGAAGGAAUAAGGCCCUAUGGGUCGUAAACUUCUUUUGUGGUGGAGCAAUAAGGUGCACGUGUGCAUCGAUGAGAGUACAUCACGAAUAAGCAUCGGCUAACUCCGUGCCAGCAGCCGCGGUAAUACGGAGGAUGCAAACGUUAUCCGGAUUUAUUGGGUUUAGAGGGUGCGUAGGCUGUUCUUCAAGUCAGAGGUGAAAUACCCGAGCCUAACUCGGGAACUGCCUUUGAUACUGGAGGGCUUGAAUACUGUUGCCGUGGGAGGAAUGAGUAGUGUAGCGGUGAAAUGCAUAGAUAUUACUCAGAACACCGAUCGCGAAGGCAUCUCACGAAUCCGUUAUUGACGCUGAGGCACGAAAGUGUGGGGAUCAAACAGGAUUAGAUACCCUGGUA